CACACAGUUCACGGGUUUCUGAAACUGUUGGAUUUAUUUCCUGCACUGUCUGUGCUUGCUGUCCCAACCCAUGCACCUUCCUAUGAGAGACUGAGUCUCUCAGCAAAACAGCCUUUAACUUAAAGAAACUAUAGAUGAAUCAGGUCUGGAAGGGAUUUCUUUUCAGGUCUGGGAGGGAGUUGGGUUUUGUUUGUUUGUCUGUUUGUUUCAAAUGAUGUGCCUUUCCACUAAUAUGGUUGUUCUACUCCCCAAACAGAAAAGUUUCUGGACAAGAUACCAAAAUUCCCUGGAUUCUCUUGAAGGUGGGGAGAAUCUAACUGCAGGUAGAAUUUCCCCCAUGGGAAAAACUGCAGCCAUCAUCGAACUCAAAGCCUUGGCCACCCUUCUGGCCCCGAGCCAUUAAAGUUAAAGCAUCUAA